UAUUUAGAUCGACAUUUUGGGCGAAAUUUAUUUGUUUAUUUAUUUGGUAAGCCAGAAGCAUUAAAUCAGUCUCCAGAUGCAAGUAAGUUUGCAAACGAAUUAAAGUAUAGAUUUAUCAAUGGUUAGCUUGAGCGAUAAAUUGCUUCGAAUGGCGACAUUUGCCGUAGUGCUCCCCAUCUGUACAGUUCACAUCGGAGCCAUUAAAAAGCGAUAAAUAAACAAUUAAGUGCAACGCUAAGCAAAGUAUCAUAAUUGUUAGAUGUUAAUUGCCAACGUUAAUUGCCAUCAUUUGGCUAGACACGGCACAUGAAUCAAGCGCCUGUUCAAUGGGGCGACCAGUAUGGUGUUUGGCGGGCUUCGGGUUGGACGGAUGCAAAACCAACCCCGGUAGACCCCGGCCUCCCCCCGAGCCCCCGGACCUCCCUCGGCCAGCGUCGCAGUCGCUUUUGAUAAUUUGCAAAUGUGUCAACAGCAACAACAACAACUGCAGCCACAAAAUGGCUAACGAAAAUUGCAAGUGGCAGUUAGACGUAAAUGUUGUUGUUGCUCGGUUGUUGUUGCUGUUGUUGCCGGUUGUUGGCUGAGUACGUGCCGUGCGCAUGCGCAGCUCUCGACUUUGUCGUGGCGCAUUUUGAGUUAUGUGGCAUGCUUGGUAGCUCCGUUAAUAAAUGGUUAUUUUUUUUU